rnacentral:misc_RNA from 1 species
UUUCCGUAGGUGAACCUGCGGAAGGAUCAUUAAUGAGUUGUCAUGGGGUUCGAUGCUGGCAGCCAAUUUUUGGAUGCAUGUGCUUGCCCUGACAAUCAUCUUCCAAACACCUGUGCCCAUUUUUGAGGGAGUCUUGAGUUGGUUGCCGCUCUUGGGUGAUUUUCUCGCAUUCCCUUAAAUCAUUAUACGCUAUUAACAAUGUUGAACGUGCUCUGUGCAGCAAGGCUAAUAAUAUAAUACAACUUUUAACAACGGAUCUCUUGGCUCUC